GCGUAAGGGUGCGAAUCGUGUCGAAUGCCAACUCAUUCGUGGAGUUUCGCAUGCCAACCGUGUCUUCGCAGUUUGGGAUAUCACUCCCGCCUCUGCCUCUGUAACUCUGUCGUGGAUCCCACAUUUUCACAAACCCGUAAUUGCUCCCGCCUCUGAAUUGUCACCGUUGGGCGCUGGUUAUCCAUCUACGAUCGCCCGUCCUCCUUUGGCCCCGCUUCCUUCCCUUGCCUCUUACCUCCUCUUCGGCGGUCGGCCCUCACGAACACCCUCCCCUGGAAUCCUCAUCUCUCUAUCUCGUUCUGUUGAUUAGCUUUGUACCCUCACCCCUAACCUUCCCUUCCCCGAUCGUUGUCCCUUUGACCGGCCGAAAGUCGCAUCGGACAUGGUCACUUGAGAACUUCCUUCCAACUGACAACCCCUGCAACUGCAAUUGCUACCCUGCCGCCUUGCAUACCAUUUGGUGCUAGAGAUUAGUUUUCUGUCAGGAAGGCCUCGUGAUGCAUCCUCUCACUCAUGUCAAUAUUGUCUUCGUUGAUGUUGCCGCUGACGGUUUGCCCUUUACUUAAAGUUAGGAAUGUUGCCGCUCUCCAUCUCUUAAUUCGGCUACUGUUUCUGCACUGUUUGCCCCUGCUAUGCACAUAUAUCCGCGUCCUUCCAAAGCCUUCUCUUCCUAAGAGAAGAAUUGUUCAUGAUCGCUUCAUGGCCGUCCUUUUCCAGUUAUAACACAUUAUUCGAGUCGAAGGGAGAUGUUCAGUUUUCCUUGAAAGAGAUAGAGAGAGAAUAAGAUGUUCGGUUUGUUGGUUCAAUUGGACAUUUAAGCUGCUACGGUAUUUUUUACUGCUAUAAUUAGUUACUGUUCAUUCAUCAUUCGAUCCAUGUUGUUGCUUGGGCCAUCACAAGCGUUUCCUUUUUCAGCUCAUCAAGAAAUCUGCUUGUUUUGCUGCAUUUUUUUUCUUUUGGUUCCAAGGGAGGUGUUUUGUUGCAGAUUUUAAUAUAUUCUCAUAGCGGACAGAGUUAAACCAUGUUGAAUUGUUGAACUGAAGUAGGUCUGUAAUCCGCAGUCCUUAUACAUGAUACCUUGGGAUACAGAUUGAAUGAUUUUUUUUCUAUUUGUUGCAUCCAUAUGGUGUGAGAUGAUUGCUAACUUUAUAAUUGCCUUGGUCAUCUUGCAUAUUUGAUCGAAGGGCUGGGUUUGAGCACUAGUUUUUGCUCUCGUCAUCUGGUUGCCGAGUCACGUAAUCAUUUCGCCCAUUGACUCGUCGAAGAAAAAGAUGAGGAGCAUGUAUAUCAGUGGUAUAUCUGCUAGGGGCAGUAGUCAGACGGGAGCCCUCACUACUGGAUUCUGUUGGCGAAGAAGAUCGUGAAGAAGCAUGAAGAAGUUGAAGAGGACACAAAGUGAUCACAAGAUCGCUGUUAAGUUAUCUGUUUUGCUAUUGUGGUAUGAACUGAUUACCAAGUGAUGAAUGCAUUUGUGCCCUCCUUCUCAGCAAAGACCUACAGGAUUCAUGAAUGGCAAUGGCCAAGAAGAACUGACCCGCGAGCUGAUGAAAUCAGGAGGUUAGCAUCAGCCGUAACACUGGUACUUGAGAUGUAAAGUUCUGGACCCCUCACAAGUCUGGUACAUUUUUCAUCUUCAAGUGCUUGAAAAUGUCUUAAGAGACAGAAAGGUAAAGGUUCAUUGGAAUAAAGCCAUUUGGUUUGCUGGGUAUCUCCCAAAAAGCCUCAUUCACAUGUUGGUUAGCCAUCUUAGGUUGGGCAGGAAAUAUCGACUAUGAGAAUCAGGGAUCAUUAUGGUGUCUACUGUUUGCGAAUUUUGUGGAGAUGGUACAGAGACUAGGGACCAUUUUCAGUUGCCGAGUUAUUCGAGAUUUGUGGCUUCAUGUCCCCAGCAGAGUGCAUAUUGAUAAACUAGUGCAGGACUGUACUUCGGAGAUCUAAUGGGUAAUGAGCUUGAAGGGUCGGAAAUUAGACUCAAUUGGAUUGAAGUUGCUCGAGUCAGUCUAUAUAUACGUUAUAUGGCUUGAGAGGAAUGCCCGGAUUUUUCAAAAGAAGGUGUCAAGCUCUGGUUUGAUAGAUACUAAGAAUUAUAGAUACUGUUAAGUUUAAAGUUUUGUCCCUGCUUGGUGUAUCUUUUAAACUAGAUAGUACGUUAAUGAGUUUUGCUGUGAAUUUGUAUAUUCCCCUCCUGUACGUAUCCAAUUAUAUUGAAUAAAGUCUGCCCAUUUAUCGAAAA